rnacentral:lncRNA from 1 species
CCGCUUGAGUGGAAUUCAUUAGAAAUUAACUACCACUUAAAUUAAUUUUCCCACAGUCACAAGGCUGUAAUGGCGGGAGAAGGGGCCGUCCAUCAGUGGGUGCUGACAGGGGACCUGUCACCGCCGUUAUUUAUAGGUGCGUGUGUCAACCCCUAGAGCAGGCGCCGGGCCAAACUCAGAGCCUCCGGACUGACAAAGCCACUUCAAAGGCCCGAAAAUUCCCGUGUGGAUAAGUAAUCCAGCCUUGCCGAGCCUGGCCCUUCCAGGGCCCGGAGGAGGGGCAACCUGGGCGAUGCUGACAGACCAGAGGGACCCGUCUUUGUUUCAAACCCACACUGGGACACACAAGUCCUUGCAAGCUGGUGAGAGUCCUCGUGGCCUUUUCAAAGGGCAGGGGACCGCCUCCGGAGCUCUGGGUCCAGAGUCCAGUUUUGGACAAACCGUGCCUGGCUGUUUCUUAGGAAUCUCUGGGUACAGGGCCCUCUCCAGGGGAAAAGCUUGCAAGGAACAAGUGGAUCUCAUGUGGAAAGGCAGAGCAUGUGUGGACAGUGAAAGCACAAAAAAGGCUGCAGCAUUUCUGGGGCUUCUGCUUCUAUGGUUGAGCGCAUAUUUGAUUCGGAACCGGUGGGCCAUGAUCAACGUGAGUUUCCUGAGACGAGACUGGUGCUUGCACGGGAAAUGGGUCACAGCACCCAAGGGCAAUGGUGCAAUGGCAGAAUCGCUCCAAGGCUGAGCGCAUAUUUGAUUCGGAACCGGUGGGCCAUGAUCAACGUGAGUUUCCUGAGACGAGACUGGUGCUUGCACGGGAAAUGGGUCACAGCACCCAAGGGCAAUGGUGCAAUGGCAGAAUCGCUCCAAGGCUGAAAGGCUCUGAAGCGAUCACCCCAAGUUCUGUGAGAGGCCUUAUGAACCCUUGCCAAGGAGACUGACAUUAUUUAGGUGUGGUCUGGGGGUGGACCAGCUGAGGUAUGCGGGGUUCUUCUGAGGGCUACGUCGGGUGACAGUUUAUUUCCUGCUAAGACACAGCACUGUCGGUGCACGAACCCGCAGCUGCAUGGAGACCCCCUCCAGGCUCCUGAGCAGGGGUGCCUGCAGUUCCCACCCGGGCCCCACAUGUGGGGAGGGGAUGGCUGGAUCAGGAACAGCCACAUGCAGCCCCAGAGAUCAGGGGACUUGGCCACGGCAGUCUCACGCCAGCUCAGCAGCCCCGCCACAGCUACAUGGCCCCAGUGACAGGCCACCUCAGCAGGGAACCAGGUGGGCGACCAGGCCCCGGAGCUUCCCUCCUGGCCUCAGCAGCUGCAGUCCUGCUCCACCAGAAGUGCCUUCUCAGGUGCGAGUCCAGAAAGUUUUGGGGACCAAAAAGUCACACCAGCAU